AUGUCCUAUCUCAAGCCGACAGGCAGGGAACUCGAACGCUUUGACGGGCUUUCUCUCAUUUAUUGGACACUCAUGGGACCAUACGGGAUGGACCGCACCGUGCAUUGCGUUGACUUCUACGACUGCACCAACGGACUGGGUAUUAAAGUGAUUGGUGGUAUUAAAGAGCUAACCGGAGAAGAAUACGGAGUUUACGUCAAGAGAAUCUUACCGGGAGGUGUUGCUUACGCUGAUGGUAAUUGUUUAUUGCUUGCAUUUCGGGCCCCACAGCUUGUGGGGAUGACGUCUGGAGGGUCUCCAGAUCCUUCUCCUAAGUUGAGACAGUUCGGGAAUAGUUGCCCGUCAUUGCUCCGUGUGAUGUGCUGGUUAGAACUAGGACUGAGGAAAUCUCUCGUGUUUGAUUUCCUCAGUUUUUUCUUGAGGAAGCCUCAU
rnacentral:lncRNA from 1 species